UGCAUUGGCAGCUUCCCAAGUUCACACCUAGUUUAAGGAUGUGUGAGGUGCAGUGAAGGUACAAUGAAGGUGCAGCCUGUGAAGACUACAAGUACCAGAAUGCAAUGCUACAUGUGCUCCACGCCCUUGCAGGAUACAUUGCAGAAUUCUGUCAGCUGCAGUUUGGUCAGCCCCUCAUUUGGACUUACCUGAGCUGCAUAGAAAUGGUCAGAGGCGACUUCCCAAGCAGCAGAGAGGACGGCAGCGCUCCAUGGAACUGACCCUGCUCCUCGGGGGAGUCAGUGGCACAACUCACUGACAUCGGUGGGCGCAGGAUCAGACCGUACCUGAGGAACGAGACCUCCAGCAAAUGCCAAAGUGGAGAAGGUUUUUCCGAGGGAAUUGGGAGAGCCGCACACAAGGAAGUGAGCAGAUCCCAGUGGCCACAGCACACCAAUGAAAUGUUCUGUGAGAUUCUUUAGCACCUUGGGGCUAGAGCAGAAGUCAAAUAUAGAAACCUUUCACCAUCUCACGGGCCAAGAUGUGUGUGUAUGGGCAGGGCGUGGGGGAGGUUGGUCAUAGAUUGGUAGGUGAGAUGAGUCAAGAAGAAGGCAGACAGAAAGUCGGUUUACAAGACAUGAAGCUUCAGUUUGAUGCAGGCAGGAAGGCAAAGCCAGUGAAAAGAUCUGAAGAAGGUUUGGACACAGUCAGAGCAGCACACCUGGUAGACAACUUCUGCAGCAGCAUUCUGGACUGGUUGAAGAGGGGAUGGAGGUGAAAGUGCAGGGGACCUCAGAAAAGGGAGCUGCAGGGGUUAGGAUGAGAAAUAGUCAAGGCCGGAGGGGGGUUAUUGGCAGUGGGAAUGGAGAGGAACAGGCAGAUGUUACAAAAGAAACAGCAGCAUGGUUUAGUGACAAACAUCAGUGCAGUGGGGAGGUGAGUCGUUUUUGGGUUCCCAGCUUGGCACAACCAGGUGUGGGUGCUCACUGCCUCUGAAAAUCAGGCCCUAAGCAUGAAGUGAGUGCAGAAUGGUACGGGAGAGGUGGCUGGGGAGGUGGGAAAAGAGCAUGGCCUCAUGCACUCUGCUGAAAGGCAAGGUCACAGAUAGGGCAGAGGAGAUGAGGGAUGUAUUGAUGGUCACAAGGGGUGUCAGUCCCGACUAGCACCAGGGGCUAACACAGUGCUUGUGAUUUCACAGCGUUUCAGGAAGGUGUUGCAGAACCUGAAGAGACUUCCACAUGGCAUCUCCAUGGCAAUGUAUGGAUGCACAUUCCAUGCAGCCUUUGCCUAGUGACUAAUUAUUCCCUGGUUUUGAUGCGGAACCGGAGGCCACAUCAAGAAGGUGUCUGAUUGCUCGGACUCGCUGGGCUGGAAUCAAUGGGGGUGGAGCUCCAACAGCUUGUCUGAUCUGCUCUUCAAUCUCCACUCUCCUACAAAGGGAAGUGCAGGUG